GGGUAUACUGCAGGCCUUGAGGCCGGUAGAGGUUGCCGGGAACUGUAGGUGUAGCGGUGAAAUGCGUAGAUAUCUACAGGAACACCAAAGACGAAGGUAGGCAACUGGGCCGGUUCUGACGCUCAGGCACGAAAGCGUGGGGAGCAAACAGGAUUAGAUACCCUGGUAGUCCACGCCGUAAACGAUGUGCACUAGAUUCGAGAGGCUCUGACGCCAUUCGGGUCGAAGCAAAAGUGUUAAGUGCACCGCCUGGGGAGUACGGUCGCAAGGCUAAAACUCAAAGGAAUUGACGGGGGCUCACACAAGCGGUGGAGCAUGUGGCUUAAUUCGAAGCAACGCGAAGAACCUUAUCCUGGGUUUGACAUGCACGGAUACCCUCGCCGAAAGGCGAGUAAGUUGCCCAUUCGGGUGAAACGUGCACAGGUGCUGCAUGGCUGUCGUCAGCUCGUGCUGUGAAGUGUUGGGUUAAGUCCCUUAACGAGCGAAACCCCUGUCGCUAGUUACUAACAGGUCUCCGGACGCUGAGGACUCUAGCGAGACUGCCGGUGUCAAACCGGAGGAAGGCGGGGAUGACGUCAAGUCCUCAUGGCCUUUAUGCCCAGGGCUGCACACGUGCUACAAUGGCGUGAACAGAGCGACGCAAUACCGUAAGGUGGAGCAAAUCGCAAAAAUCACGCCCCAGUUCGGAUCGAGGUCUGCAACUCGACCUCGUGAAGGUGGAAUCGCUAGUAAUCGCGCAUCAGCAAUGGCGCGGUGAAUACGUUCCUGAGCCUUGUACACACCGCCCGUCAAGUCAUGGAAGCCGGGAGUGCCCGAAGUCGCACCGUUUCAGGUGUGCCUACGGCAAGCUCGGUGACUGGGACUAAGUCGUAACAAGGUAACCAAGGGCGAA
rnacentral:rRNA from 1 species